UCCCAGCCUGUAGGAGCGGAGGAAACCUUUAGGAGCUGCAGGGCUGGUGGUAUUUUUGGCCCGGGUCGCAGAUCGAUUCCUGUCCACUCUUUCCCUGCCACUUGCAGGAAAGGGUCCCCCAGCGAGGAUGUAGAGAAGAGCUUGUAAAGACGUGGAGCACGGCGCUGCAGCCUCCCAUGCACCAGGGCUCUGAAAAUCACAAGACAACAGCACCUGAAAUGAUCUUGAAGGAACGAUGACCUGCUAGUCCUGUACACCAAACAUGAGGCACCCAACAUGCAAGUGAUUGCAGAUGGAAAAAAGUUACACAUCGGAGAUGACAAUGUUGAUCACGGUCUCAUCCUCCGUCCAGCCUGCUCCCACUCGCCACCACCUCUCCCCCCCUCCCACGCUCCCAAAGCCCCGCAAGGACAACCUGCGGCUCCAGCAGCUGCUGAAGAAGGCAGCCAAGA